rnacentral:lncRNA from 1 species
GGCUAGGUCUUGGAGGCUGGUGUAAGGCGAUGUGGGUGAAGGCAGGAGGCUGAUGGAAAGACUGGGGGGAAGAAAAGCCGAAAUGGAUUCACGGUGCCUUGGAUGAAGGACGAGAGGGGAACUGCAAGCUCCUUCAACUGGUUCUGUCCGGUGAGAAGUGAUCAAGCUUGGGCUGACAAGAGGCUCAGGGAGCCCUCACGUUCUUUCGCUUUUUUACCUGCCAAUCAAACUGCUACAAGACAACACCCUGAUCUGGCAUGGACAUCGCGGGUCCAAGCCUGUAGCCCCAAAUCGGAUAAUCUCUGCAGCUGAUAACAAGCAAAAGAGAAGCCAGGCAACAGCCAUAUUAAAGAAGAAAACAAUCAACUCUGAGGAAGAAAUGUAAUGAAUUGAGUGCUGUCAGAGAUGUCUUCUGUUUGAACAAUCUGCGAUGGGCUGAAUGGCAGGGACUCCCUCAUCCAGUGCAGAUCCAACUUAGAAAUAAUGUUUCAUUCAAGAUAAGGCUCGUGGCUUAGGAGAUUGUGACCUGGCUUGCAUCAUUCUAAGACUUCUAUCGUCUGUUUUCAAAACCCAAGGAGGACCUCCUUUUCUGUGUGAUAGUUCCUCAUGCUUUGCCAGCCACUGGGUCUUUAAGGAAGCUUGCCAAGAGUUCCCGGCUGG